UUGAAGAGUUUGAUCAUGGCUCAGAUUGAACGCUGGCGGCAGGCCUAACACAUGCAAGUCGAGCGGUAGCACAGAGAGCUUGCUCUCGGGUGACGAGCGGCGGACGGGUGAGUAAUGUCUGGGAAACUGCCUGAUGGAGGGGGAUAACUACUGGAAACGGUAGCUAAUACCGCAUAACGUCGCAAGACCAAAGUGGGGGACCUUCGGGCCUCAUGCCAUCAGAUGUGCCCAGAUGGGAUUAGCUAGUAGGUGGGGUAAUGGCUCACCUAGGCGACGAUCCCUAGCUGGUCUGAGAGGAUGACCAGCCACACUGGAACUGAGACACGGUCCAGACUCCUACGGGAGGCAGCAGUGGGGAAUAUUGCACAAUGGGCGCAAGCCUGAUGCAGCCAUGCCGCGUGUGUGAAGAAGGCCUUCGGGUUGUAAAGCACUUUCAGCGGGGAGGAAGGCGUUAAGGUUAAUAACCUUGGCGAUUGACGUUACCCGCAGAAGAAGCACCGGCUAACUCCGUGCCAGCAGCCGCGGUAAUACGGAGGGUGCAAGCGUUAAUCGGAAUUACUGGGCGUAAAGCGCACGCAGGCGGUCUGUCAAGUCGGAUGUGAAAUCCCCGGGCUCAACCUGGGAACUGCAUUCGAAACUGGCAGGCUAGAGUCUUGUAGAGGGGGGUAGAAUUCCAGGUGUAGCGGUGAAAUGCGUAGAGAUCUGGAGGAAUACCGGUGGCGAAGGCGGCCCCCUGGACAAAGACUGACGCUCAGGUGCGAAAGCGUGGGGAGCAAACAGGAUUAGAUACCCUGGUAGUCCACGCCGUAAACGAUGUCGAUUUGGAGGUUGUGCCCUUGAGGCGUGGCUUCCGGAGCUAACGCGUUAAAUCGACCGCCUGGGGAGUACGGCCGCAAGGUUAAAACUCAAAUGAAUUGACGGGGGCCCGCACAAGCGGUGGAGCAUGUGGUUUAAUUCGAUGCAACGCGAAGAACCUUACCUGGUCUUGACAUCCACAGAACUUUCCAGAGAUGGAUUGGUGCCUUCGGGAACUGUGAGACAGGUGCUGCAUGGCUGUCGUCAGCUCGUGUUGUGAAAUGUUGGGUUAAGUCCCGCAACGAGCGCAACCCUUAUCCUUUGUUGCCAGCGGUCCGGCCGGGAACUCAAAGGAGACUGCCAGUGAUAAACUGGAGGAAGGUGGGGAUGACGUCAAGUCAUCAUGGCCCUUACGACCAGGGCUACACACGUGCUACAAUGGCAUAUACAAAGAGAAGCGACCUCGCGAGAGCAAGCGGACCUCAUAAAGUAUGUCGUAGUCCGGAUUGGAGUCUGCAACUCGACUCCAUGAAGUCGGAAUCGCUAGUAAUCGUAGAUCAGAAUGCUACGGUGAAUACGUUCCCGGGCCUUGUACACACCGCCCGUCACACCAUGGGAGUGGGUUGCAAAAGAAGUAGGUAGCUUAACCUUCGGGAGGGCGCUUACCACUUUGUGAUUCAUGACUGGGGUGAAGUCGUAACAAGGUAACCGUAGGGGAACCUGCGGUUGGAUCACCUCCUU
rnacentral:rRNA from 1 species